UACGUAGGGUGCAAGCGUUAAUCGGAAUUACUGGGCGUAAAGCGUGCGCAGGCGGUUUUGUAAGUCUGUCGUGAAAGCCCCGGGCUCAACCUGGGAAUUGCGAUGGAGACUGCAAGGCUUGAAUCUGGCAGAGGGGGGUAGAAUUCCACGUGUAGCAGUGAAAUGCGUAGAGAUGUGGAGGAACACCGAUGGCGAAGGCAGCCCCCUGGGUCAAGAUUGACGCUCAUGCACGAAAGCGUGGGGAGCCAACAGG
rnacentral:rRNA from 1 species